rnacentral:ncRNA from 2 species
AUAAAUGUAAUUACUAGCGUUUAUAUAAACCAGCAUAUUGGGUUGGUGUUUCUACGAUAGACCUAUCUAUCACUAUAAGUUAGUAUUUAAACUUU